rnacentral:rRNA from 1 species
AGCAGCCGCGGUAAUUCCAGCUCCAAUAGCGUAUAUUAAAGUUGUUGCAGUUAAAAAGCUCGUAGUUGAAUUUCGGGACCAAUCUGCCGGUCGUGCCUCCGGUAUGCACUGGUUUUAUUGGUUUCUCCCUUCUGACGAAUCAUGAUGUCAUUAAUUUGGUGUCAUGGGGAAUCAGGACUGUUACUUUGAAAAAAUUAGAGUGUUUAAAGCAGGCUCACGCUUGAAUACAUUAGCAUGGAAUAAUGAAAUAGGACGUUUGACCCUAUUUUGUUGGUUUCUAGGAUCGACGUAAUGAUUAAUAGGGGAUAGUUGGGGGGCAUUAGUAUUCAAUUGUCAGAGGUGAAAUUCUUGGAUUUAUUGAAGACUAACUACUGCGAAAGCAUUUGCCAAGGAUGUUUUCAUUAAUCAAGAACGAAAGUUAGGGGAUCGAAGACGAUCAGAUACCGUCGUAGUCUUAACCAUAAACUAUGCCGACUAGGGAUCGGAUGAUGUUAUUUUUUAAUGACUCAUUCGGCACCUU